rnacentral:tRNA from 1 species
GAGGGUGUUGCUCCUGUGGUAGAGCACACGCUUAGCAUGCAUGAGGUCCUGGGUUCAAUUCCUUGCACCUCCU